rnacentral:rRNA from 1 species
GUUAGGAAUAUUGGACAAUGGACGCAAGUCUGAUCCAGCCAUGCCGCGUGAGUGAUGAAGGCCUUCGGGUUGUAAAGCUCUUUAGCCGAUGAUUAUAAUGACUGUAGUCGGAAAAUAAGCCCCGGCUAACUUCGUGCCAGCAGCCGCGGUAAUACGAAGGGGGCGAGCGUUAUUCGGAAUCACUGGGCGUAAAGCGUGCGUAGGCGGUUUUGUAAGUUGGGAGUGAAAGCCCAGGGCUCAACCCUGGAAUUGCUCUCAAAACUACAAGACUUGAAUUCGGGAGAGGAUAGCGGAAUUGUCAGUGUAGCAGUGAAAUGCGUAGAUAUUGACAGGAACACCAGUGGCGUAAGCGGCUAUCUGGACCGACAUUGACGCUGAGGCACGAAAGCGUGGGGAUCAAACAGGAUUAGAUACCCCUGUAGUCC